AACUUCAAAAAAGAUGGAGAGCAGAGCAGCUGCAGAGACCCAGGCCCGAGGUGCCAAUGGUUCCCACUGGCAUUUGACCUGCUGUCUCUCUGUUCAAGAUUCAGAUUCCUUCCCAAGGGAGAGUCUGAUUGGCAGAGCUUGGAUCAUGUGACUCCCCUUAGCCAGGAGAGGUGAGGAGAACUUGAUCUUGCUCUCGUCAUGCUUGGAGGUCUUAGCACCACUGUGGACUUUCUUCCACGGUCUCUGAAUCCAGGCUCUAAAAUACACCCACUCAGGACUACCCUGGCACUUUCUAUUUCCUACUUUACACAAAACUUUUCAGAAGAAGCUCAAAGGCAA
rnacentral:lncRNA from 1 species